UGCUGUAGUAUUUUGACUAUACAAAGGUAUUGAAAUAAGAUUUUAAAUGAGUGCUAAGAGAAUGAUUAAACAAUUAAAAGCUUUCUUUAAUUAAAAAAUUAAAUUUAAUUUUUUUAGUGCAAAAGCAAAAAUAAAAUUUAGGGACAAGAAGACCCUAUGAAUUUUUAUUGUUAAUAAUUAAAAUUUAAGUUAUUAAUAAUUUAAUUGGGGCGAUAAAAAAAGAAUAAGUAUCUUUUUAGUUAUAAAAUAAGUUCCGUUUUUAGCGAUUAAAUGAAAUAAAUACUCUAGGGAUAACAGCGUAAUAAUUUUGGAUAGUUCAUAUAGAUAAAAUAGUUUGCGACCUCGAUGUUGGAUUAGGAU
rnacentral:rRNA from 1 species